rnacentral:rRNA from 1 species
GUAGCGGCGAGCGAAGCGGGAUGAGACCAAGAUGAAAAUCUCCUCUGGAGAGUUGUAGUCUGCGUCACCUUGAGUAUUCAGUUAAUGUAAGUCACAUGGAAAUGUGUACCGGGGAGGGUGAAAGUCCCGUCCAGCAUUAACAGGAAUUUCUCGUACGAGGUGAUUGCGAUGGAGUCGGGUUGCUUGAGAACGCAGCUCUAAUGGGUGGUAAACUUCAUCCAAGUCUAAAUACUGGUGAGAGACCGAUAGUGAACAAGUACCGUGAGGGAAAGAUCAAAAGCACUUUGAAAAGAGGGUGAAAAGCACCUGAAACCGCUACGGGGGAAGCGUAUUGCAUCAGUGAAAGGUUGCCUAUCUGUUCAGCUGCUUCGCAGUGUAUUCAGGUAGUGUAACGCGUGGGGAUGACUGUGUGCUCUGGGAUUUUGUCAGAGUGCAUGGUGAGGGCAUCCCUUCUCGGUGAGGAUCUCCACGAAAUGGUGCAAUUCGACCCGUCUUGAAACACGGACCAAGGAGUUCAGCAAUACUGCGAGUCGAAGGGACUCUCAAGCCCAUAGGCGCAGUGAAAGCAAAUAUUUGGAAACUUAAACAGGUUAGGGGGGUGUUGCGACUUUGUCAAAAUAUUCCACCCAGAGCAGUAUUGCUGAGACCCGAAAGAUGGUGAACUAUGCCGGAAUAGGGCGAAGCCAGAGGAAACUCUGGUGGAGGCUCGUAGCGAUGCUGACGUGCAAAUCGCUCGUCGAAUUUGGGUAUAGGGGCGAAAGACUAAUCGAACCAUCUAGUAGCUGGUUCCCUCCGAAGUUUCUCUCAGGAUAGCGAGCCAAUGUGUUGUUUUAUGUGGUAAAGCCAAUGAUUAGCGUAUUUGGGAAAGUAACUUUUUCGGUCGAUUCUCAAACUUUAAAUGCGUAAGAUGAGUAUGGUUGCGUACUAGAACCUACUCUACAAAACAUUGGCUCUGUGGGCCAUUUUUGGUAAGCAGAACUGGCGAUACGGGAUGAACCGUAAGUGCGGUUAAGGCGUCAAACUCGUCGCUUAUAGAUUCCACAAAAGGAGUUGAUUCAUCCAGACAGCAGGACGGUGGCCAUGGAAUGUCGGUCCGCUAAGGAGUGUGUAACAACUCACCUGCCGAAUGAAUUAGCCUGAAAAUGGAUGACGCUUAAGCGGCGGGCCGACACCGCACCAUUGUCUGAAGUACACACAGAUAAUGAGUAGGAGGGCGUGGUGGUCCCGUUUUGAAGGCACAGACGCGAGUCUAGCUUGAACGGCCACUAGUGCAGAUCUUGGUGGUAGUAGCAAAUAUUCAAACGAGAACCUUGAAGGAUGAAGCGAGGAAGGGUUUCAUGCGAACAUUGAUUGAGCAUGAGUGAGUCGUUCCUAAGCCAGGUGGUAAUCGUUCUUACGAUUGGCGAAAGGGAAGCAGGUUAAAAUUCCUGCACACGGAUGUGAAAGUGGUGACACACAUUGAGUUGGAGACGUUAGCGGUGGCGCUGGGCAGAGUUUUCUUUUCUGUUUAACUUGUUCGUGUACUCUGUGGAAUCCGAUUAUCGGGAGAAACAGGUGCCAAUGGGCAGAGCAUCGGGGUGUCCCCGGUGUCCAGAACGCCGCCGUUAGCCCUUGAAAAUCCAACUGCGAUGAUUUCACGCCGUGGCGUACCGAUAACCGCAUCAGGUCCUCAAGGUGAACAGCCUCUAUUCAAUAUGAACAAUGCAGGUAAGGGAAGUCGGCAAAAUAGACCCGUAACUUUGGGAUAAGGGUUGGCUCUAGUGGAGUGAAGGAUUUUUGGUGUAUACUCAUCACUGUGUACUAUGUACGGUGAACAUGGUGAGGCGCUCACGUGCCUUAUCGUCGACGCUGUGACGUGCAUUAUGUGUUUGUGUGUGCUCCGCCUUCAGCAUACUCCAAACUAGAACUGUAACGGGCAAAGGGAAUCCGACUGUUUAAAUUAAAACAAAGCAU